UCCUCGAUGGUCUAACGGUCAUGAUUUCCGCUUGUCACUCAAAUAGAGAACGAGCGCGGGAGACCAGGGUUCGACUCCCUGUCGGGGAG
rfam:Neosartorya fischeri NRRL 181 1099437636266 genomic scaffold, whole genome shotgun sequence.